UACAGAGGUCUCAAGCGUUGUUCGGAUUCAUUGGGCGUAAAGGGUGUGUAGGUGGCGCGCUAAGUCGGGUGUGAAAUUUCGGAGCUUAACUCCGAAACUGCAUUUGAUACUGCGGUGCUUGAGGACUGGAGAGGAGACUGGAAUUUACGGUGUAGCAGUGAAAUGCGUAGAGAUCGUAAGGAUGACCAGUGGCGAAGGCGGGUCUCUGGACAGUUCCUGACACUGAGGCACGAAGGCCAGGGGAGCAAACGGG
rnacentral:rRNA from 1 species